rnacentral:rRNA from 1 species
GAUAAGCUCCGUCGUCGAAAGGGAAACAGCCCAGAUCGUCGUCUAAGGUCCCCAAGCGUGUGCUAAGUGGGAAAGGAUGUGGAGUCGCAUAGACAGCCAGGAGGUUGGCUCAGAAGCAGCCACCCUUGAAAGAGUGCGUAACAGCUCACUGGUCUAGUGGUUCCGCGCCGACAAUGUAGCGGGGCUCAAGCACACCACCGAAGACGCGGCAGUAGCUUUGCUACUGGGUAGGAGAGCGUCCCAUGCGGGGCGAAGCGGCGGCGCAAGCCCGCCGUGGACCGCAUGGGAGUGAGAAUGCAGACAUGAGUAGCGAAAGACGGGUGAAGAUCCCGUCCGCUGGACGACCAAGGGUUCCAGGGCCACGUUCAUCGUCCCUGGGUGAGUCGGGUCCUAAGGCGAGGCCGACAGGCGUAGUCGAAUGGAUGAACGGGUCGAUAUUCCCGUACCGGCAUGCAACCGACAAAACCGAAUCCGCGAGUACUAACCUCCGGGUCCGGGCUUACGUCUCCUUCGGGAGCCGGAUGCCCUGGCCUGUUGGGACCGUAACGGUAGUAGGUCAGCGCGGGAGUGACGCAGAAGGGUAGCCGGCCGCGGAGGUGGUCUUCCGUGGUCAAGCACGCAGCCCGUCCCACAGGCAAAUCCGUGGGGCGCGUGGGCGAGGUGCGAUGAUGGGCGCCGCAGGGCGCGAUAUCCGGUGAUCCCGGCUGCCGAGAAAAGCUUCGGCGUGAGGCGGCGUGCCGCCCGUACCCCAAACCGACACUGGUGGUCAGGUAGAGAAUACCAAAGCGAUCGAGCGAAUCCUGGUCAAGGAACUCGGCAAAUCACUCCCGUUCCUUCGGUUUAAGGGAGACCCCCGAUGGUGAAGCGGCUUGCCCGUGGAGCUUUUGGGGGUGGCACAGACCAGGGGGUAGCGACUGUUUACCAAAAACACAGGAGCGUGCGAAGGCGCAAGCCGCUGUAUACGCUCUGACGCCUGCCCGGUGCCGGAAGGUUAAGAGGAUCCGUCAGGCUUCGGCCGAAGCGGUGAAUUCAAGCCCCGGUAAACGGCGGUGGUAACUAUAACCAUCCUAAGGUAGCGAAAUUCCUUGUCGGGUAAGUUCCGACCUGCACGAAUGGCGUAACGACUUCCCCACUGUCUCGACCAGGAGCUCGGCGAAAUUGCAGUACGAGUAAAGAUGCUCGUUAAGCGCAGAAGGACGAAAAGACCCCGGGACCUUUACUAUACCUUGGUAUUGGCAUUCGGUGUGGAUUGUGUAGCAUAGGCGGAAGGCUUCGAAGCCACGGCGCCAGCCGCGGUGGAGCCGCAAGGUGAAAUACCGCUCUGUUCGCAUUGGAUGUCUAACCUCGACCAGUCAUCCUGGUCAGGGACAGUGCCUGGCGGGUAGUUUAACUGGGGCGGUUGCCUCCCAAAGAGUAACGGAGGCGCUCAAAGGUUCCCUCAGCCCGGU